UUCCGGUUGAUCCUGCCGGAGACUACUGCUAUCGGAGUCCGAUUUAGCCAUGCUAGUCCACCGAGUCUUUGACUUGGGGCAUAUAGCUGAGUAACACGUGGCUAACCUGCCCUGUGGAUGGGUAUAACCUCGCUAACGUGAGGCUAAUACCCAAUAUCAGAUGAGGAUGGAAGUAAUCUUCAUCUGUGAAACGUUCCGACGCCACAGGAUGGGGCCGCGGCUGAUUAGGUUGUUGGUGAGGUAACGGCUCACCAAGCCGAUAAUCAGUAGCAGGGGUGAGAGCCCGAGCUGUCAGUCGGCAUCUGAGACAAGAUGCCGGACCCUACGGGGUGCAGCAGGCACGAAACCUUCACAAUGCACGCAGGUGCGAUGGGGGGACUCCGAGUGCAGUCUUCCAAAACGGAAGGCCGCUUUUCUGCACUUUAAGCAGGUGCCGAAACAAGGGGUGGGCAAGACGGCUGCCAGCCGCCGCGGUAAUAGCCGCACCCCGAGUGGUAGUCAUUGUUAUUGGGCUUAAAGUGUUCGUAGCCGGACACACAAGUCUGCUGUGAAAUCCAUGCGCUUAACGUAUGGACAUGCAGCGGAUACUGUGUGUCUAGGAACCGGACGGCGUUGAGGCUAUUCCCGGGGUAGGGGUGAAAUCCUAAAAUCCUGGGAGGAGCACCUGUGGCGAAAGCGCUCGACGAGUACGGAUUCGACGGUGAGGAACGAAAGCCAGUGGAGCAAAGCGGAUUAGAUACCCGCGUAGUACUGGCUGUAAACAUUGUGCGUUUGAUGUCGGACAACCUCCGAGGUUGUCCGGUGCCGAAGUGAAAACGUUAAACGCACCGCCUGGGGAGUACGGUCGCAAGGCUGAAACUUAAAGGAAUUGACGGGGGAGCACCACAACCGGUGGAGGCUGCGGUUUAAUUAGAUCAAACGCAGAGCACUCUACCAGAGCCGACAGCAGAAUGAAGGUCAGCUUGAAGAGCUUACCUGACGCGCUGAAAGGAGCUGCAUGGCCGCCGUCAGCUCGUGCCGUGAGGUGUCCGGUUAAGUCCGGUAACGAGCGAAACCCGCAUCACAUGUUGCCAUGGAUCCCUUCGGGGAUUCGGCACUCGUGUGAGACCGCUGGCGAUAAGCCA
rnacentral:rRNA from 1 species